rnacentral:lncRNA from 10 species
CCCCUAUCCCAGGCCUUGUAACCCCAGCCUGGGGUGACUCUCUUCUUUGCUCUGUAGCACCCAGCCCCUCCUCUGUCACAGUUCUUAUCACACUGCAUUGAAAUGAUCUGAAAGCUCAUUGCUGGCAGGGAGCUGGCAUUAUUCAUCUCUGUUGCCCUGGAGCCCAGCUGGCAAAUGAUCUGAUCAGGUGAUUCUCAAACUGGGCCUAGCAGAGUCCCUGCACUUCCAAGGAGGUGUCCCAUUUUAGGGUUAACAUUCCCACCUCCAACCCUCCCCUCUCAUGGGGAAAAGUAUUAGAAGAGGAUUGAAUACCGGUUGUAGAAUGAAAAUGCUGGUCCUCUGAAGAAUUACAUCAGUGACAAGAGGGGGAUGUUUCUAAGGAACAGGGAAUCCUUAUGGCCAAAUUACUUUACCUUUAUUCUCUCAAGUCAAAACCAAACUGAUGAGUAUGUGUAAGUGCUAUAGGUGACACCAGGGUGCACACUAUAUCGCCUGUCCUGGUACCUUUCAGUUAACUUGGGAAGGUAAGACUUACUACUUGAACAACCAGGAUUGUAAAUGUUUGUGAGGCAGGCUACAGCUGCAAAAUUUCCCUGUACACUGUGCAAGUAAAAACAGAACUGCGUG